rnacentral:RNase_P_RNA from 1 species
AGUGCGAACUGGGCGGUCGCUGCCUCGCUUUCGGGUGAGGGAGAGGAAAGUCCGAACACUACAGGGCAGCGAGCCAGCUAACGGCUGGGCGCAGGGCGAAUGGGGUGGCCUUUGAGGUUUUUUGCCCGUUCGCCGUGUGACGACAAGUGCAACAGAGAAUAAUCCAGCCAACGCGAGUUGAAUGACGUUAGUUGUUUUUAGUCGCGUUGGUGAUGGGUGAAACGGUGCGGCUUCUGAGUAAUGAAGCUUAAUGUAAGAGCGCACCAGCGCGUGUGGUGACACAACGCGGCUAGGCAAACUCCUCGCAGUGCAAGACCAAAUAGGGAGACGGUUUGAGGGCGGCCCGUCCUCGUGAAAGCUUUUUGGCUUUCCCCGUCUCCGGGUAGGUCGCUCGAUCCGUUUGGCGACAAACGGGCUAGAUGAAUGAUCGCCGCUUUGCCUUUAACAAGCGAAGAACAGAAUUCGGCUUACAGGGUCGCGCUGCUU